UGCUUAGCAUGCAUGAAACCCCAAGUUUAAUCACCAGAGUCUCAAAAAAGGAAAAAACUGUUUCUAAGCUACCCAUGUAUAAAUGAACUUGUGACAAAGUACAUUCAUUACAGCAGUUUCCUCCAAGAUUGAAACAUUCCAUCCCCCAUGGACUCCUUAAAACAUAAGGAAAACAAGUCAAAAUACCUUCAGGAAGUCACUGAAACUCACCAGAUUCAGAGGGCCCAUUGUUCCCAGAAUAAGAAAUGAAGACUGCAGGAGGGGGGAGGUGUCACUCUCAGAUAAGUUAAUCUGCAGAGAAGAAUUUGAGAUAAGAGGAGCUGCCUGGAAGAAGAAACCAGCCCAGCUGCCUGGGCAAAUUUUAGACUUGGAGUCAUUUGGAAAGGACACUCUCUAUCCUGUUGACCUGCUUGUAGGCUGUCCAGGUUCCCAGUUUCUGUGACUAAAGUAGACUUUGGUGACAAAGUUGUCUUUAAGAUAUUUCUGUUCCUGUAACUAAACCCUGAUCCAUAUUCCUGUAAGUAACCCCAAUAAAACUCAUUGGCU
rnacentral:lncRNA from 1 species